ACGCUGGCGGCGUGCCUAAUACAUGCAAGUCGAACGCACAGCGAAAGGUGCUUGCACCUUUCAAGUGAGUGGCGAACGGGUGAGUAACACGUGGACAACCUGCCUCAAGGCUGGGGAUAACAUUUGGAAACAGAUGCUAAUACCGAAUAAAACUUAGUGUCGCAUGACACAAAGUUAAAAGGCGCUUCGGCGUCACCUAGAGAUGGAUCCGCGGUGCAUUAGUUAGUUGGUGGGGUAAAGGCCUACCAAGACAAUGAUGCAUAGCCGAGUUGAGAGACUGAUCGGCCACAUUGGGACUGAGACACGGCCCAAACUCCUACGGGAGGCUGCAGUAGGGAAUCUUCCACAAUGGGCGAAAGCCUGAUGGAGCAACGCCGCGUGUGUGAUGAAGGCUUUCGGGUCGUAAAGCACUGUUGUAUGGGAAGAACAGCUAGAAUAGGAAAUGAUUUUAGUUUGACGGUACCAUACCAGAAAGGGACGGCUAAAUACGUGCCAGCAGCCGCGGUAAUACGUAUGUCCCGAGCGUUAUCCGGAUUUAUUGGGCGUAAAGCGAGCGCAGACGGUUUAUUAAGUCUGAUGUGAAAGCCCGGAGCUCAACUCCGGAAUGGCAUUGGAAACUGGUUAACUUGAGUGCAGUAGAGGUAAGUGGAACUCCAUGUGUAGCGGUGGAAUGCGUAGAUAUAUGGAAGAACACCAGUGGCGAAGGCGGCUUACUGGACUGCAACUGACGUUGAGGCUCGAAAGUGUGGGUAGCAAACAGGAUUAGAUACCCUGGUAGUCCACACCGUAAACGAUGAACACUAGGUGUUAGGAGGUU
rnacentral:rRNA from 1 species